rnacentral:rRNA from 1 species
AUUGAACGCUGGCGGCAGGCCUAACACAUGCAAGUCGAACGAGUGGCGGACGGGUGAGUAAUGUCUGGGAAACUGCCCGAUGGAGGGGGAUAACUACUGGAAACGGUAGCUAAUACCGCAUACCAUCAGAUGUGCCCAGAUGGGAUUAGCUAGUAGGUGGGGUAACGGCCCACCUAGGCGACGAUCCCUAGCUGGUCUGAGAGGAUGACCAGCCACACUGGAACUGAGACACGGUCCAGACGCCUACGAGAGGCAGCAGUGGGGAAUGUUGCACAAUGGGCGCAAGCCUGAUGCAGCCGUGCCGCGUGUGUGAAGAAGGCCUUCGGGUUGUAAAGUACUUUCAGCGGGGAGGCGUUACCCGCAGAAGAAGCACCGGCUAACUCCGUGCCAGCAGCCGCGGUAAUAC